CAUGACCUCAGAUCAGGUGGGGCAACCCGCUGAGUUUAAGCAUAUCA
rnacentral:rRNA from 1 species